CAGGUGGUGGUGCCUGUGUGGGCAGCAGUGAGCACAAGGGUCAUCAGGAGCUGGAAAAUAACCUGUCAACAUCACGUGGAAUGAUGGAAUCAAGUGUGGAUGAGUUACACUUUUACUCACCCACACUCCAGUGGCAAGCCUGAGAUAAAUCUGUAAUGUAGUGGUUUUAUCCUGUCCACUGUUAGUGCAAGAUUAUAUCAUCUAGAAAAGAUGCAGCUGACCAGAUUUGUGCUAUAUGUGUGUUCCAGGGAUUUGUAUUUGCUGUUUAGUUCAGGUGAAGAAAAGCAGUAAAUGGUGUUUCCCUUCCCUUUCCUUUUUUUUUUAAUUUUUAUUUUGAGUGCACAAAGAAUGAGCAACAAAAUGUCAGAUUUGGCAUACCAGGAUAGGAAUUCAGUUAAGAAAGUAAGUAAAGUGCUAAUUUUCAAUUUCAUAGGAAUCUGGUGGUGUAAUGAGUAGAUUAAUUAUUGAUGAGGCAAGUAACCCUUGAUUAACCUUAAAAAGGAAAUCACGGUCAAACUGUUCUCUGUUCCUUGCUGUUUGCCUCCUCAGAAAAAAGAACAGCAUCAUGGUGUUGUAAUGACCCAGUCAAAUUCCUGACAAAUUGAAAUGCUGUGGCCUUAAGAGAGCUGUGCAUAAACGAAUGCCCACAAACUUCAAUGAACUGAAGCAAUGUGGUAAAGAAGAGUGGGCCAAGAUUCAUCCAUGAUGUGAGAGACAGAAAGACCUACAGAAAACUGUCACUUCCAAGUUGUUGCUGCUAAAAGUGGUUCUACAUGCUAUUGGAUCAUCGGUUGUACUUAGUUUUUCACACAUGGUAUCUCCAAUUUGGCUUCAUUUUUGUUAAAUAAAUAAUGACUGGGUGGAA